rnacentral:lncRNA from 1 species
GAGGAGUUUCUUCUUGCUGUUGUUGAGUGCAGACAUGAUUCUCUGUACUGAUGUAAGAGGCAGAAAUAAAUGAUGUAAAUAGUUUUCUGUCUGCUUCUUUCCCCUCCCUGGGGACACCAAAGGGGAGAGAGGAAGAACGGUGUGUUCCUCUCAUACAUCUGAGGAAGAAUCGCCGGACCUCGCCUGCUUAUCAGCAGAGUGGUGACGCGGGGAGGUCGACAGGAAUAUCUGCCGGUGCCUACGCUGUGGCACAUUCCUCUGACCCAGGCAGAAUUCCAACAGUGGUAGCAGAGGAUGGUUCUGAUUCAUCGGACAUCUGCAUAAGAGGCUGGUGGAUUGUCCUCCACUGCUCCUAAGGGAGAAGGCAAGCGUCUGAGAGAAGCCAGAGGCUCGACAGACAGCUGGUGGAAAGAAGAGGUGUUUUCCCAAGCAACGAAGUUCAAGGUAUGCUGCAUUUCGGGCUAAAAGUGUGAACGCAGGAAGAUUAAUUCCCUGGUUCACGGAGCUGCGUUUCAAAGAAAACAAGAGCUCCGGGAGAAGAGGCCUGCAGCUUGAAGGCUGAAGCCUGCAUUCCACAAAUUUUUGUGGUAGAUAAGAAGUCCCAUUGAAAUGCAUUGUUGCUAGGUAACGGAAAGUUGGAAAGUUACUGGCAAGGGGCUGGACUCUCUGAGUGUGAGCCUGGGAAAGCGAAACAAAAUCAGAGAAUGUUUUGGCUACAAGUUUAUGAGCUCUUGGAAGGGACUUUUCAAUAGCCGCCUGAGUUUAGCUGCCAGGUGCAAAAAGGGCGUAAACAAUUUGCAGUUUGCUGCGUGAGAAAGGAAAAAAACAACUGUUGGAUUUUACAGUUUGUUUGACAUUGUGAGCUGGAGGCUUGGCUUCAAAAUGGAUGCCAAGAAAGGGGGAGGUUUGCCUUGCCCACCUCCCUUAACCAAUGACAAUUAUUCAUCUUGGUCUGUAAAGAUGAAGGCCCUGCUGCAGAAUCAGAGGCUUUUUGAUGUAAUUGAAAACCCCAUCCCUGCAGCACCAACCAGAGGUUGGGAGUCACAGAAUGUAAGGGCCAGGACUGCUAUAAUUCUGUGUGUCUCAGAUGAUCAGUUGGUGCAUGUUCAGCAUUUAGAAAAUGCGAAAGAGGUAUGGGACACGCUGCGUACAACGCAUCAGAGAGAUGCUGGUUCUUCAGCGUUGCUGUAUUUUGAGAAAUUGACCAAUCUGAGACUUGCGCCUGAUGGAGAUGUUCAAGCGCACCUGACAGAAAUGAAGUUUCUGCGUCAACAGAUGGUGGAACGCAAUUUCCGUCUUCAGGAGGAAGUGUUUUGCUUCAUGAUGAUAAACAGCCUUAGCCGCACCUACAAGGUUGUUGCCAGUCAGCUUGGUUCCCUACCGGCCGCGCAGCUGACCGCGGAGAGAGUUUGUGCUGUGGUCCUGAAUGAACACGACAGACUUGCUGCACUGGAAGAAAAAGACAGGGGAGGGAAGAACAGAGUUCUAAUUCCCCACUGCUGAUGCUACUGGAGAGCAUGGUGUAGCAUUGAGUGCUGUCCGAUGCUACAAUUGUGGACAGACUGGGCAUCUACAGCGGAACUGUAAGAAGCCGCGCCAGUCAAGAGGAGCAAAGAGCAGCUCUACGAAGCCUCAGGCGUCAGGCAAAAGCCGUACCAAGUGCCAGGUGAAACCUGCAAAGGCUAUGAUGGCGAAAGGAACCACGCCAGAUGUUGGGAACUCGUUCAUAAUUGACACGGGCGCAACGGUUCACAUGUGCCCGCACAGAGGACUAUUUUCGACGUUGAAGAAGCAAAGCUUCACUGUGAAACAGGCCAACGGUCAGGAGUUGGAAGCGACUGGAAUUGGGACUGUGUAUCUUGAGAGUCUGAACUUGACUAUAAGUGAUGUUUACCUGGUUCCAGAACUGAGAUUUAAUCUGCUGAGCGUGUCGCAGAUUGCAAAGAAAGGACUGAAACUGUCCUAUGAUGCUAAAAGCUGCAAGAUCUACAAAGAUGGAGAACUGUUUCUUACUGCCAAAGAGAAAGAUGGACUGUAUUUGUUGACUUUUGAUCAAAGUGAUUACAUGAAAUGUAAUUCUUCUGUUUCUAACGAAAUCUCUCUUGCAGGGGUGACCAUGACCAGUGUGAGCACCAGGAAGGUGACUAAGACCAAGAAGGUCGACAGAGCAUUUCAGCGGGUGUAUGCUGAUGUGAUUGGUCCUCUAGAACCAUCUAGAGGCGGUGCACGAUUUUACCUUUUGUGUGUGGAUUGUUUCACUAAUUAUUCUUGGGUUUAUAUGAUGGAGAAACCGCAAGAAACUUUAGAAAAGUUUCAGGAGUUUUGUGACAAGGUUAAAAAUAUGCAUGAUGCUAACAUUGAUUGUCUUUUCACAGAUGAGAAGCAAAUUUUUCUGUUACAGAAGUUUCAGAAGUUCCUGGAUGGAAAAGGGAUAGACCACAAAGUUGCAGUUUCGCAAGAAGCGUGGAACAGGGGGGUCUGUGUAAAAGUGAACAAAGAAUUGCAAAAGGGAAUGAAUGCGCAAUUGCUGAGUUCACAUUUGCCACAUGAAUAUUGGGCCGAAUCGCUAGCGUCCUAUCUUCAUGUGUGGCUGAGAAAGAUCUCAACAGAGCUUGGGAUGUUCUCCUUUUGAGAAGCUGUUCAAUAGAAAACCUUCUGUUGCCUAUUUUAAGGUUUUCGGGUCUCAUGUGAGAACAGAAGCUCCAGGUGGUGUAAAGAAUGCCAGAGGCAUUUUUGUGGGUUAUGAAAAGGUCUCUACAGAGUAAUUUUGUCUGAAUCUGGUCAGGUGAUUCUCACAAAGUUCCUAGAGAGUGCUCCAAAGCAAGAGCGGAUAGUACAGACAUUUCCCACAGAGGAUUCUGAUGAUAAUGAUGAUGAUGAGUUUGAUCUUAUUGAGUUCAGUAGUACUGAUGAUGACAGCGAUAGCUCAGACAGUUCAGUUGUAACAGUCAUUGAGAGGAAAUCUCACACAAUGGAUAGACCUUCACAGGUGAAGGAAGAACCACUGAUUGCUACUGGUUCUCAACAGAGUCCAAAGGUUGAACCAGUGAGCACAGAAGAUCAGAACCUCAUACGCAGGUCUGAGAGAGUUACAAAGGGUGUACCACCAAAGAGGUACUCAAAAGAGUUUGCUAACUUAGCUGUUGCAUAUGUUGCUAUUGUAAACGACCAAGGACAGCUUGAAGCUGUGUCUGAGUCAGAGACAAAGGCACAACAGAGAGGUGUUAACCAAGGUAAUGCGAAGUCACACAACCAGAGAGGUACAUUGGUUAAACCAGUGGCGGGUAGUUCCAAGGGUGGAACUGAAACAACAGGGAAUGUUAUAAAUAUAACAACUGUUUGUUUUCUUCUCUGGAUGACGCUUUGCUCGCAGCACACAUUGAUACUUUAGGGGAGUAUGUUACCAUAAAGCACCAAUGCUGCAGCAAGCAAAGGCUCUAGCAGCUCAGCCAGCUGCUUGUGGCUGGAAAGCCAGACAGGAUGUUUGUGACUGUUGCCAUGGGAACAAAGGGGCAGUCCAUUCUGUACUGAGCACCGGAUGUUAGCUCAGUGUGUGUGUGUCAUAUGACCCGUACUGGAUGUACUUGGGAGGAGUUUCUUCUUGCUGUUGUUGAGUGCAGACAUGAUUCUCUGUACUGAUGUAAGAGGCAGAAAUAAAUGAUGUAAAUAGUUUUCUGUCUGCUUCUUCCCCUCCCUGGGGACACCAAAGGGGAGAGAGGAAGAACGGUGUGUUCCUCUCAUACAUCUGAGAAGAAUCGCCGGACCUCGCCUGCUUAUCAGCAGAGUGGUGACGCGGGGAGGUCGACAGGAAUAUCUGCCGGUGCCUACGCUGUGGCACAUUCCUCUGACCCAGGCAGAAUUCCAACAAGAACUAGUUGAGUACAUGAAUCCAGUGCCUUGAUUUUUUAUGGGCUUCCCCAGCUAAACAAUUUUUUUCUUCUGAAGUAGACCCAUUUUUAUCUACCCCUCCCUCCCCCUCCCCCUCUCAUGGGUGUGUGUUAAUAAUAAUAAAAAAAAUAAAGUACACACACGCAAAAUUCAGUAACACCAGGAUUUAAAAAAUAGUCGUCAUUGCUAUGCAUGCAAAUGUCUCCAAGAAAUUGUGAUAACAUCCACUGUUUUGUUGUGUUUACCUAUUAUGGUAUACAUAAUAAUGUUUGCCUAUUAUGGCAUACAAAAACAUAUAUUUGACAUUCAUGAUGGGAUUUGUUGUUCACUAUUUACUCAUCGUCACAGGAAAUACUAUUUUCAUUUAAAUUCUGAAAUGUACCUUGUCCCAUUCUUCUGCCAAAGAAGGCUCCAGAGCAGCUUAGAUCACUAAAACAUUUUAAUUUUUUUAAAAAUGCAUGUCCUAGCACAAAAGGGAACUAUAUUGGUAGGGAGGAUGACAUUGAACAAACUCAGAUACAAGUUCUUCUCAUGACCUGCCAGGGUGGAAAGUUAACCAAAAUGACUGUACCAAAAGUUGAUGGCCGCUGUGUGGAUGGAGUAGCUUUUCACUACAUGGCAGAUGAAGGGCCUUAACUGAAGAUCUUAAGGCAUGGGGAAGCUGGAAUGAGGAGGCAGGUUGGGCGUCCGUCAGAAAGUAGGCUAUAGACAAGAAAUGAAAUGAAAUGGUCUAAUGAAUUUCAUUUAUUAGGGUGCAUUUGCAUAGGUGGAAGCUUGAAAGUUGCCUCACUGGAGUCAAGGCACGAGGGCAAUGUUUCCCUCAUCAUUCAUUCAGUCACUUGAUGUUUCACUUUCAGAUAUUUGAAAAUCGAAAGUUUACCUCAAGUCUGGCAAAAAUAAAAGCGUGAACAGUGGGUGGGUGAAAAGUGAACCUUGUUCUUCAGUCUAAUUCGGCAAACAAAUUACUCCCGACAUUUUUAGUUUACACUUAAAAACAAAGUUCACAGAAGCAUAAUCUCAGCCUUUUCACCUACCAAGUAACCCUUUCCUAGAAGGCUAAAGGACUAUUUAGACCAGGGGUCAGCAAACUUUUUCAGGAGGGGGCCGGUCCACUGUUCCUCAGACCUUGUGGGGGGCCAGACUAUAUUUUGAAAAACAGAAGAACGAAUUCCUAUGCCCCACAAAUAACCCAGAGAUGCAUUUUAAAUAAAAGCACACAUCUACUCAUGUAAAAACACGCUGAUUCCCGGACCGUCUGCGGGCCGGAUUUAGAAGGUGAUUGGGCCGGAUCCGGCCCCUGGGCCUUAGUUUGCCUACCUAUGAUUUAGACCUUGUGGGAUGGGGCUGUGGACGCUCAAUCUGCCCCCACCACAUUCAUGCCUUCAGGAGAAGGUCUGAACAAGCCUACAGGCAUCCAAACCAUCCACAGGCAGGCUUCAUCAUUCUCAUCACAGACCAUGCUUAUUGAACACAACCAUGAAUCCAGUUGAUUAUGUUCCUGCUCCUUUCUGUAUAUCUGUUCAUUUGAACAGCUCAAGAAGCUAGGGAUAGUUUUGGGAAUGGCGCUUCUCUUGCAGAUCCUGCAUCUGGAAUGCUGUUUGAUAAUCUGCUAGCAUAAAACACGAAGAGAAAUAUAAUGCAUUUGAAAACAAUACCUCCCAAAUUGCCACACGUCCUUAUUACGUUCUCUGACUUCUUUUCAUUUUUCACUGACAUUGGUUUAAUUACUCCUAACAAUGUUAUCGCCAUUUUUAAUUUGUUCUUUCAUAUUGCACUUACAGCUCAAUUAAUUCCAGUGACUUUGUUCCCCCUCUAUUGUGUGCUUUAGAUGUGUUUUGAAAGGUUAGACCUUGUCAUGUUUUCUGAAAGGCUUUUGUGGUUGUGGGAUAUCAGCUAAUUGCAGGACACACAACAUGCAGUGACACAACAGUAAAGGGGGGAAUGCAGGUUCUAAAUUACCUUUAGUGAAUACAAUUGCUCUCUUUUAUGUUGGAUAAAUAUUUUAUGCUGAAAGAGAUCUGGAAUAUGGAUUAUUUUAUUAAAGUGACUGGGAAUCAUCAAUCUGCUGUUGUGUGAUUUCUAUCCUACUAAGUUCAGUCAGCGUUUGCCUCCUAUUUACUCUUUGAUUUCCCAUGCUUUGACUGACGUUUUAUGAUUUAUGUUUAUAUUUAUAGUUGGGAUGAGGAACCAAAAUGUGUCCCUCCAGGGCUUUCUUUCUCUGGUCCUUGGGACUCUUCCUAGCCAUGCCUUCUCCUCAGGCCAUGCCACUCACCAGCCUGUCUCUGCACACUCCUUGAGUGUCUUUGCUUGGCUGGAAUGUAUUCUCAAACUAUGAUGAAUGGUUUUUGUGUGGCUGGAAUGUAGCCUACUAUCCAAUGGUAAAAGUAAAUUCUGUUGCCCUGCCCACUUUUGCCUCUGCCCCGCCCACUCCUGGCAUGGAAGGUUCCCUGUAAAAUAAUGUGGCAUUUGAGCCGACGAUAUUUCCACCCCUCUUAUUUAUAGUAUAUUCUACUCCACACCUGGGAAACCUGUGGCUUUCCAGAUGUCUUGGACUCCGUGUUCCCACAGCCUUAGCCAGCCUGCACAAUGGUCAGGGAGAAUGAGCGCUGGAGUCCGGCAACAUCUGCUCUGCUCUGCUCAAGAGCUCAGGCCAGGUAAUUUCAUCCACUGAACAAAAUCACUCUGACAGGCUCUUUAUUGUUCCUUGCAGCUGCCUCCUGUUAGCUCUUUGAUUUCUCCCUACUUUGCCUGACUUCAUUUUACAAUUUUAGUUGGUAUUCAUAGCUGGAGUGGCAACAGAAACUCCAGGAAAAAAUAUGGCGUGGGUUAUUUUGAGUCAAAUGACGGUGACGUCUACAGUAGUGUCAGGCUUCAGGGAAUCUGAUCCCCCUCACGGCUGGCUGCCAGAAAUGGGAAAAGAAAAAGUUCUUACCGAUAUAUUUUGUUCAAUAUUCACAGAGACAUAGGAUGUCGCCUCUUGGAUAAUAGCAUUGCUCUGAGUAAAGUUCCUACCCCAUCCACCUCUCCUUUUUUUUAUUUAUAAAAUUUUUAUUAACAAUUUCAAUGUAACAAAUUAUGAAAACAAGUCAUCUUCAUUAUUUCCCCCCUUCCCCCCUCCCUCAGCUCCUCUCUCUGAUUUCUCAACUCAUGUUGUUCUCUGCAUACUAUAAAAUUAUAUACAUCCUUUUAUUAUCUAUCUAUUAUAUUAACCCUCAAGUUGUGUAUAUUUAUCAAAACCUGCCAAGGAGUCCAGUUCAUUUUGUUGUCUUUUUAAAUAAUUUGUAAAAAGUUCCCAUUCUUCUUUGAAGUCACAGUUAUCCUUAUCUCGCAAUUUGUGUGUCAGUUACGCCACUUCUUCAUAGUUCAUCAAUUUCUCUUGCCACUGUUCUUUUGUCGGGGUUUCCUCAUUCUUCCAUCCUUAUGCGAUCAAGACUCUUGCCGCUGUAGUAGCAUACAUAAAUAAAUUCUUUACCCCCUCCAUCUCUCCUAUUAAACACCAUUCCUAUGUCAGCUAACCUGUGCUUUCUGCCUCUGAGCUUUCUCUUCUACUACCCUCAAUGUCCACCGGGCUUUCCAAAGACACUGAGUCUGUCAGCUGUCUCUCCCCUGGUGCUGCUUCUUCCCCCUGCUCCUCUCCCAAUAUUUCCUCAGCUUCUCCCCUCUGCAGCCUCUGAACUAAACCACUGUUGUAAAUCUAUACUGUCUCCCUCUUCCACCAUUCCCCCUCAGUCCAGCCCCUGACAGGUAGCAACUAAAUUGAAAAUGAAGCAAGAAUAUACUUCAGCCCUGCUUCCUUGGUCACUGCUAGUGGCAUGGAUUUGGGGGAAGGGUUUAACAACACAACAUCUUCCACAGGAGAUAAUUAUAGGGAGGGUUGUUAAUUCUACAUAACCGUUAGAUGUGGCCCUUUUUUUCACACCAACAGAUAACAUUAAUUUUAACAGAACGAGCUCACUUUAUUUGAAGCAUCCACCUGCCAAGUAGCAACACAUAUUGGAUGAGUGUCACCUUUGAGCUGCAUAUCGAGAGAUAAUCUUAGUAUCUUCUUGAUUAUUGAAGUGUCUGGCACAGAAGGAUCCCCUUUUUUGAGAAAAAUAAAUAUUGCUGGAGCAGGGGUGUCAACUUGAAUAAAAUACUUUGUGUGUCAAGUAAGCCCUGUCCUGCAUAACUGAUCACAUGAUGCAGUGCACAGACACCAUUUGAAUCAACUAUGGGGUCCCAUCCCCCUCAAAUAUUUUAUUGAGGGGCCAAAGACCCCUCAGCCCCUAGGAGUUGGCUCCUCCUAUGUGCUGGAGAGUUAAGUCAAAGAGUCCGCUGUGACAAUACAGAUCAGAGUAGGCACCAUUGUGCCCUCCACAUAUUGUUGGACUAUAACUCCCAUCAUCCCUGGCCAUUGGCCAUGCUGACAGCAGAUCUGUCCUAGCAUCUGUGAGUCAGGGGAUCAAACCCCUUUAAAAACAAACAAACAAAAAAUUAAUACUCUACUGAUGAAGUACAUGGGGAAAGAACCAUGCAGUAAUAACAGAUCGUAUUCCCCUUCAGAAAUGCAAGGUGUUGAAUGAUUCUGUUUUCCAGACAGGGUGAUCUAUGAAAUGUUUUCUCUCUGUUAACGUGGAGUUGGGAAGAGACAGCAAGACUGCUUCUUUCUACAAGAGCACCACUGUGCUCCAUGCUCAUUAUGCUAUCCUGAACUCAAAUAGAUUUGACCUCUUCAUGUCUGAAGACCACUUAUUCCGGAGCACAUUAACUUGGCAUCAGAGAUGCUGCAUUGGUACCUGAAUGCUAAUGCCCAGCCAAUCUAUUCUGGAGCAUAAACUGUAAAUGUAGCAUCUUAAGUUGCUUGGGAAAGGGGUCCUUUCCCCCUUCGGAGUUUUAAGGACAAUGGGUUGAAAAAUUAUUUCAGCUCUUC